rnacentral:rRNA from 1 species
AUGCCGUCGAUUGCCAACGCUAGCGACAAUGGCGAGUUGAAGCAGAGGCAGCCGGAGCAGGAGCUGGUCUGCGUCACGGGGGGCGGAGGCUUCAUCGGCUCCUGGGUCGUGAAGGAGCUCCUCCUCCGUGGCUACCGCGUCAGGGGAACCGCCCGAGAUCCUGCUUAUCUAAUGGCGCGCGCGUUUGCAUUGGUUUGUGAAGCUGACCGCAAGAACGCGCACCUGCUGGCUCUGGAGGGCGCCGAGGAGAGGCUUACCUUUUUCCGCGCCGACGACCUCGUGCCGGUCGCCGUUGAGGCAACCAGAAACGUGAUCAGAGCUGCAGCGGACGCUGGCGUGCACCGUGUGGUGUUCACUUCGUCCUACGGCGCCGUGCACAUGGACCCCAACCGCGGCCCGGACGCCGUGCUCGACGAGACGUGCUGGAGCGACUACGAGUACUGCAAAAACACAGGGAACCUGUACUGCUGCGCCAAGAUGAUGACGGAGAUAACGGCGACGGAGGAGGCGGCCAAGAGGGGCCUAGAGCUGGCAGUGGUGGUGCCGUCUAUGACCAUGGGCCCCAUGCUUCAGCAGGCGCUCAACUUCAGCAGCAGCCACGUCGCUCGCUACCUCACCGGCGCCAAACCCACCUACCCUAACGCCAUCGCCGCCUACACCGACGUCCGUGACGUCGCCCGGGCCCAUGUCCUUGUCUACGAGCACCCCGAUGCACACGGCCGGUACCUCUGCAUCGGCGCCGUGCUGUACCGUGCGCACUUCCUCCAGCUCCUCGGUGACCUCUUCCUGCAGUACCACAUAACCGCCAAGUACGAGCGCAAUACGAUCGAUCUUAUUUGA